GGAGAGGCCAGAGAUUGAGCCUGGGACCUUCUGCAUACAAAGCAUGUGCUCUGCAUUGACCUCCCUGCUGCCACAGUGAAGAGUGACCUCUUCAGCCUGGUCCUUUGCAUGUUUACUCACAAGGUCCACAGAGUUGGUUAGACCUGCUCUUGGGUGUGUGCGUGCAUCAGGUGGCACCCUCCGUGAAAUUUCAGUGCAGCAAGUCUCUCCCUUCUGAGGGUGGUAAACAAGAUUUGUUCAAUGUCUGCAGGUUGUGUGGCUGUUAAAAACACAAUAAGAAAAAGACAGACAUCAUUUCCUACUCUUUCUCAAGAGUAAAUGGUUCCCAGUUAGGAAUUCCUUGCCAGAUAAAACCCUGACCGGCACCAUUUUUUACUGCAUCCUAGGCCCGUGCUGGGGUGGAGUGGGGUGGGGAGGAAAGGUCUAGAGUGUUUGCUGAGCCAAUACUGCAGUUUUUAUUUGGCACACUAUUUCUUUUUCUUCCAUUAAAAGAAAAAUCAAUAGUCAGGCAUAAA